rnacentral:rRNA from 1 species
GAUGAACGCUAGCUACAGGCUUAACACAUGCAAGUCGAGGGACCGGCGCACGGGUGAGUAACACGUAUCCAACCUGCCCUUUACUCGGGGAUAGCCUUUCGAAAGACAGAUUAAUACCCGAUAUAAAGGAUGGGGAUGCGUUCCAUUAGGUUGUUGGUAAGGUAACGGCUAACCAAGCCUUCGAUGGAUAGGGGUUAUGAGAGGAAGGUCCCCUACAUUUGAGCUGGGGCACGGUCCAAACUCCUACGUGAGGCAGCAGUAAAGAGUAUUGGUGAAUGGGGGCUAGCCUGAACCAGCCGAGUAGCGGAAAGGAUGAAUGCUUAUGUGUCGUAAACUUCUUUUAUAUAAGAAUAUGUAUUAUAUGAAUAAGGAUCGGCUAACUCCGUGCCAGCAGACGCGGUAAUUC